rnacentral:rRNA from 1 species
UACGGAGGGUGCAAGCGUUAUCCGGAUUCACUGGGUUUAAAGGGUGCGUAGGCGGUGGCGUAAGUCAGUUGUGAAAUUCCCCGGCUUAACCGGCGGGACUGCGAUUGAUACUGCGUUACUUGAAUCAGGUUGAGGUAGGCGGAAUGUGACAUGUAGCGGUGAAAUGCUUAGAUAUGUCAUAGAACACCGAUUGCGAAGGCAGCUUGCUGGACCUGUAUUGACGCUGAGGCACGAAAGCGUGGGGAGCAAACAGG